rnacentral:lncRNA from 1 species
CUGGAUGCACUGUAUAAGCUGAGUUAUGGGCCUCAUCAAGAAUCUCUUUCUUCAUUUCUGGUACUUUCGGCACACAUACCCUGUUCCCGAAUCUUAAAGGGCCAUCUUCAUGCACUCGGAAUUCUGACUGCACACCUGACUCUACUGUUUCUCUGAUCUUCUGUAACUCUGGAUCCUCUCUCUGAGACAUCUUGAUCUUUUCAAUCAGAGUAGGUUGCACUGUGAGGGUAGCCAAUUGUAC